rnacentral:piRNA from 1 species
UGAAUGCUGAUGGAUGCUCA